ensembl:snoRNA
UGAUGAAACGUCUCCGGAAUCGCUGUACGGCAUUGAUGAGUCCUCGAACCCUUCAUGGCUGAUGGCUGCGGUCGGGGUUGUC